GAUGAACGCUGGCGGCGUGCCUAAUACAUGCAAGUCGAGCGAACAGAUAAGGAGCUUGCUCCUUUGACGUUAGCGGCGGACGGGUGAGUAACACGUGGAUAACCUACCUAUAAGACUGGGAUAACUUCGGGAAACCGGAGCUAAUACCGGAUAACAUAUUGAACCGCAUGGUUCAAUAGUGAAAGGCGGCUUUGCUGUUACUUAUAGAUGGAUCCGCGCCGUAUUAGCUAGUUGGUAAGGUAACGGCUUACCAAGGCAACGAUACGUAGCCGACCUGAGAGGGUGAUCGGCCACACUGGAACUGAGACACGGUCCAGACUCCUACGGGAGGCAGCAGUAGGGAAUCUUCCGCAAUGGGCGAAAGCCUGACGGAGCAACGCCGCGUGAGUGAUGAAGGUCUUCGGAUCGUAAAACUCUGUUAUCAGGGAAGAACAAAUGUGUAAGUAACUGUGCACAUCUUGACGGUACCUGAUCAGAAAGCCACGGCUAACUACGUG
rnacentral:rRNA from 1 species